rnacentral:rRNA from 1 species
GACGAACGCUGGCGGCGUGCUUAACACAUGCAAGUCGAACGGAAAGGCCCUGCUUUUGUGGGGUGCUCGAGUGGCGAACGGGUGAGUAACACGUGAGUAACCUGCCCUUGACUUUGGGAUAACUUCAGGAAACUGGGGCUAAUACCGGAUAUGAGCUCCUGCUGCAUGGUGGGGGUUGGAAAGUUUCGGCGGUUGGGGAUGGACUCGCGGCUUAUCAGCUUGUUGGUGGGGUAGUGGCUUACCAAGGCUUUGACGGGUAGCCGGCAUGAGAGGGUGACCGGCCACAUUGGGACUGAGAUACGGCCCAGAAUCCUACGGGAGGCAGCAGUGGGGAAUAUUGCACAAUGGGCGGAAGCCUGAUGCAGCAACGCCGCGUGCGGGAUGACGGCCUUCGGGUUGUAAACCGCUUUCGCCUGUGACGAAGCGUGAGUGACGGUAAUGGGUAAAGAAGCACCGGCUAACUACGUG